UACAUGUCAGUUUUUUUCUUCCUUAUGUGGACAAGCAAAUCAAAAACGAUUUUGAUUAAACGCAGUGAUUUAUGUUCUUCGUAUUUGUUUGCUUCUUCUGUCCAAUAUCCGGCCAAAGCUCUGAUUUUGCGACUGCUAAAACCUUCGGAACUCCCUUUAUUUCGUUGGACGAUCAUCACCUUCCAGAAAAUUUCAACCGGAAACGUUCGUCCACCAUCAGCUUCAUCUCCGUCGAGUUCUGAAGACUUUCAACCAAUCGAAGAGCUUCCUCUGAAGCUACAAGAGAUAGUGAAGUUAUUCCUAUCGGGACAAGAGCCGAGAGCUAAAUACAUGCAGCUUAUAUUCUACGAAGAACAUCUUAAACCACUCGAGCCUCGAUUCAAGACGAGGGAGAAUAAAGUUGAAGAUUGUGUUUCUCAGGUUUGGGUUAGGGAUUUCUUCGAUGACCAACACAACGUUGUCUAUGAAGCUGAUUCUGAUUCAUCUAUCACUAAAGGGCUUGCUGCUCUUUUAGUCCAGGGUUUAUCUGGUAGACCUGUCCCUGAGAUUUUGAGGGUUACGCCUGAUUUUGCUCUUCUUCUUGGUUUGCAGCAGAGUCUGUCUCCUUCUAGAAACAAUGGAUUCCUUAAUAUGCUUAAGUUGAUGCAGAAAAAGGCUCUUCAUUUGGAAGUCAAAGGUGAGGAAGAUUCAAGUUCUGGAGAGAGUUUAGAAUCCAGCUUCGUACCUACUCCUGAAACAAACGGUGGAGAAAGUUUUGUGGUUGACAAGGAAUUUUCUGCAUUCGUCACAAUACGACAUCGUCGAGACUUUGUUCUGUUCAUCAAUCAUCACUGGUCGCACCGAGAAUCAAGUUCUGUUCUGGUAGUGGUGGUGGUGUUUUAAAUUCCGGUAAGAGGUGCGUGGCGAGGUGUAGCUUAGAAACAGUGAAUGUUAGUGUUGGCCAGGUUACGGAGGUUGAUAAGGAUACGUUCUGACCAAUCGUUAAAGCCGUCGGUGAUAAGAUUGUUAUUCUCGAUAUGUACACUCAGUGAGAAGAAGAGAAAGAGCGGGUUGUGAAGAAGGAGGACAAUUUUGGAAUUCUCACUUUCUCAGGAAUGAAGAACCGGUUAUCAAAAUUGUAUGUCCCAGUUUGUUGUUUGUGUUCGGAUAAUAAUCUUGGUUCGUUAGUUUUGGUAUUUCUUGGUUCGUUCGACAAAAGUAAUAAUAAUGUUGUUUGUCCAUGUAACUUAUGAUUGUUAAUUUAAAAUACAAAAAAACGAAAACUGUAUCAUAA